UGAGAAAGAGUUUAAAUAAUUUUGGACAUGGCAUCUUUAGUAGAAAAUACAGAAAACAUUGGCUGGCUAUCUUUUGUCACGUGUUUAUAUCGUUUCCAGCCAAAAAAAACUUACUGGUUAAAAACAAAUCUAUAUAGGGUUGAUAUUGUAUGUCACUUUAAUAAUUUGACAUGUUUUAAAAGGAGAUUGCACCAAAAAAUACUAAGAAAUGAAUGAAGCACCUGCAAUAAUUCGACACGGCAGCUGAUGUCAGUACGGUAUAUAGAGAAUGACCCAAACCUGGUAUUGAAUUCCCUUCAGUGGAGCAGCAAUAAAUCAGCUGUACUGUGUGAAGGGAACUCAGUGCUUUUCUUUGUUUUCAUCCUGAGUGCCAGCAGCCACAACUAAAAUGCUUUAAAGCUAUGGCGUAACCCUUAAAAAUGCUUUCCCCCCCAUUUAAACCGUGUUUUCUCAGGAUUACAGCAUUUAAAAGAAUGUUUCCUUCUGAUUAACUAAAUAAUUCCCAAACCAAAGGGAUUUGUUUAAAGGUUUUAGAGUGUAAUAAUCCAGAUAAUAGUAAUUUAAAUUUGUUUUCACACUAGGCCUAAUUUACUUAGUCUAAUAUAUUCCAAAAGGAAAUGCAGUUGUACUCAUAGCGCAUUUAAAGAGAGAGCUUUAUUUGUGUUUGUUGACAAUUUGUGUGUCUCUUUCCAGAAUACUCUUCGGCAACAGAAAGCAGCAGUGUUUUGGACAGGCAGUGAAGGGUGAACUCCAUCAGGGACGCUUUGUGAUGACUUGACAACAAUGGUAGAGUUUCUCCUCAGCUUCAUACAUGAAAAAAAGAAGGUUUUAAGGGAAUUUAAUGUUUAAUCGCUGAUUUUAAAUAAAAUAUGAUGCAAAAAUGGGACCGUGAACUUCCCGUCUACUCUUCUGCCUCGUGCGGCGGGUUCAACUCAUGGAUGAUCCAAGUGGUGGAGAAGAGAGGGAGGCAGAGAAAGAGCACUCAGAGCACAGUCAUGCCAGUUACAGUACAGUACUUACCCUUUAGAGCAAAUCAUCGAGGUGACUCUGCUUAACAGGGGGUCACCUUGCUGAUAGGGAUACUACAGGGGCCGCUCCAUUUUCGCCUCGCUGUUGUUAAAAGCUUGAGAUGGGUCAUGAGUAAGAGGCAGGCAUGUGAUCCAUGGAAACAGAGAUAUUUCAUGUGUUUGACUGCAGGGACGACUUACUGACAUUCUGAAAAGUCACGCAGAUAGCCGACGGCCUCAGACCAUUUAUAUUCACAGCAGGAUUUAAACCGACAAGGAGAAUGAGAGAAAAAAAAGCUAUUUUAAAUAACAAAAUCAGACCUAAGUUAACCUAACAAGUGUAUGAAUUGGAAUAGUUUUGCAAAUACAGAUGGUGACAAAUUAAAUGAAGAUCAACCUACAAUAUUUUAGUGGGGCAACUAUGAGGCACCAGGCAGCUUCAGUGCUCCCCGGCAUUGAUUCUCUGUCCACCUUUAGUUUUUGAUGACAACUCUCUCCACAUUUCUGGAGAGAUGUGCCAUUUUUUUUUCACCUGCUCUGCUGGAGGGGUUUUGUUGUUCCACUGUUGUCUUUAAAACACCCCAGAGGUGUUCUAUUGGAUUGAAGUCGGAUGUCAUACUUGCCCAGGUUAUGAAUUUUACUUUUUUUCUUCUUUAGAAACUCCUGUGUGAUUUUGGCAGUGUGCUCUGGAUCGUUAUCAUCCUGGAAUAUUCCUCCUUUGCCAAGCUUCUGCAGACUGGUAGUACCAGUAUUUUGGUAUAUCCACGGACAUUCAUGUUGCCAUCUAAAAAUGUCAUCUCCCCAACAUAGCUCGCACUCAUGUGGCCCCAUGUCAUCACAUGCCCACCUUUGUGCUUCACUGUCAGGACUAUGCAUUCACUGUGGCUGUCCAGACCAGAUUCAGGACAAAUAUUCUGGACCCCAUCAGAGCAGAACAACUUUACACUGACCUAGCUGUUAUUAAAAACCCUGUGGCAAGUCUGAUACAUUUGCCCUUCUGUUUUUCUCAGCUAAACUGAAAGUUCCCCACUGCCCAUGGCAUCAUUUUAGGCUUUCAGCCGUUGCAGCUCUGAUUAGUGGCACUAUGGUUCAUUCUAUACCUUCUGACUACUCCUGCAACUUUGUUUCGAUGGAUUUUUUUAGUUGGUCACUAAUCUUCCUGUAUCCUUUUCCAUCUUUGUGAAGUCUCAUGGUCCUUUGGCAAUUCUUGUGGAGCCACGAUGCAGACAUGCGAAUAUACACAGCCUUAAAAGUCCAAAACCGAGAUAGUUCUGGUGUUCACAGGUCAGGCUAAUUGGAACUCACUGUUGAACUUGCGUUUGUUUCAGUUUUCUAACUUCUGUUUCAGUAAUUACAAUUGUAAUUACUUCUGUUGCUUUCAGUUUCUACUUUUGGGGAUCUCUUUUCCUUAUAACCUUCCUGAAGAAUCAGUUUUUGUACUGUUCAAAAGAGGAACUAAUUGCCGAAUUCGAAGUAAGGCAAAUACUGAGGUGAUGCCACAGUGAAUUAUUUGACAUUGAAGUGAUGCUGUACAGAUGUGUACUUGCUGCUGUUGUAUAUUGUAGACUAUUCCCCAAGCAGAUGUUUUGAGUUGUCAUGAUGGACAACGCACAGGCGUAACUCAUAAUAUCACUUAUGUCUCUACUCUGUUCAUAUGUCCUUGUAAACCAUAAAAAAUGUCCAGCAUGCAGCAUUAUUUUUUAAUGUUUUCACAGUAGGCAUUUCAGCAUGUCACAGCAGGGAAAACACAUAUGUAAUUAAUAACAUGUCAUGAAUCAGUGCAUUCCUUUUACAUGAGCUUCUUCCAUGGCCUUGAUAUUUCACAUGCUGGUUCUCUGACAUCGCUCACUGGGGGAGUUAAUGGAACUGAUCCAUCCUUAACUGAAUUAGUUACACCUGUGCUUUCUCUGCUAUUACAAGUCAAAACGUCUACUGUGAGGAAGGUCUGUAUCCGACCUGAGUGGAAUACAGUAAUUAUUAACAUGUGUUAAUUUAGUUAUCGGUCAGAAAUCCAUCAAGACUGAUCCACCAGUGAGAAUCUACUUGAAGACCUUGCACCACAUUCAGUUUUUGCAUUACUCUCUGUAAUAGAAAAUACCUUUCACUCAAUGUCUGACUCAAUUAAUUUCAGAAGUGUGUCUAGAAAUAUGUCUAGUGUUACCAAACUGAUUGAAAAAUGUCUUCGGUCUAGAUUUAGUGAGCAGCUUUUUUUUCCCAAGUUGCCUUGUAAUUCAGAGGAAAACCGCAAUCCUCAUGCUGAUAUAAUGACAUGAAAUUGUGGCAGCAUUUGAGUUUCAAGUGUAUGUACAAUAUCAGUGACAUGCAAAGCCAGUAUAACUUUCUUAAAGCUUUCCAAGACGAAUUUGCACUUUUUAAAUCAAGAUUUUUCAUGUGCCGAACUAUCCAGCCCAUAACUUUUAUAUAGAUACAUCUAACUUUAAACCUGUAAUUGAUAAGUGGGAUCGCUCCUGCAAACCACAAGCUUUUGAAAUCCUUUGAAGGUAAAUAUUACACAAUAGUUUCAUUCUGUCACUGUGUCUAUUGUCUUUUUCAGCAGCAGAUAGUUAAUCUGCCUGAAGCAGCCUGUCUGUAGCAGCCCAUAUUAAUGUUAUUGAUCAUUGUCAACUUUUGUGUUUCUUCCAGCCUCAGAUCACACUGU
ensembl:lncRNA